rnacentral:rRNA from 1 species
AGAGUUUGAUCAUGGCUCAGGAUGAACGCUGGCGGCGUGCGUAAUACAUGCAAGUCGAACGCUUUGUCUUUAAUUGAUCUGACGAGCUUGCUCUGAUGCGAUUUUAUCUGACAAAGAGUGGCGAACGGGUGAGUAACACGUGGGUAACCUACCUCUUAGCAGGGGAUAACACUUGGAAACAAGUGCUAAUACCGUAUAAUACUAACAACCGCAUGGUUGUUAGUUGAAAGAUGGUUCUGCUAUCACUAAGAGAUGGACCCGCGGUGCAUUAGCUAGCUGGUAAGGUAACGGCUUACCAAGGCAAUGAUGCAUAGCCGAGUUGAGAGACUGAUCGGCCACAAUGGGACUGAGACACGGCCCAUACUCCUACGGGAGGCAGCAGUAGGGAAUCUUCCACAAUGGGCGCAAGCCUGAUGGAGCAACGCCGCGUGUGUGAUGAAGGGUUUCGGCUCGUAAAACACUGUUAUAAGAGAAGAACGGCACUGAGAGUAACUGUUCAGUGUGUGACGGUAUCUUACCAGAAAGGAACGGCUAAAUACGUGCCAGCAGCCGCGGUAAUACGUAUGUUCCAAGCGUUAUCCGGAUCUAUUGGGCGUAAAGCGAGCGCAGACGGUUAUUUAAGUCUGAAGUGAAAGCCCUCAGCUCAACUGAGGAAUGGCUUUGGAAACUGGAUGACUUGAGUGCAGUAGAGGAAAGUGGAACUCCAUGUGUAGCGGUGAAAUGCGUAGAUAUAUGGAAGAACACCAGUGGCGAAGGCGGCUUUCUGGACUGUAACUGACGUUGAGGCUCGAAAGUGUGGGUAGCAAACAGGAUUAGAUACCCUGGUAGUCCACACCGUAAACGAUGAGUGCUAGAUGUUCGGGGGUUUCCGCCCUUGAGUGUCGCGGCU